rnacentral:rRNA from 1 species
UACACUCCUACGGGAGGCAGCAGUGGGGAAUUUUGGACAAUGGGCGAAAGCCUGAUCCAGCAAUGCCGCGUGCAGGAUGAAGGCCUUCGGGUUGUAAACUGCUUUUGUACGGAACGAAAAAGCUCCUUCUAAUACAGGGGGCCCAUGACGGUACCGUAAGAAUAAGCACCGGCUAACUACGUGCCAGCAGCCGCGGUAAUACGUAGGGUGCGAGCGUUAAUCGGAAUUACUGGGCGUAAAGCGUGCGCAGGCGGUUAUGUAAGACAGAUGUGAAAUCCCCGGGCUCAACCUGGGAACUGCAUUUGUGACUGCAUGGCUAGAGUACGGUAGAGGGGGAUGGAAUUCCGCGUGUAGCAGUGAAAUGCGUAGAUAUGCGGAGGAACACCGAUGGCGAAGGCAAUCCCCUGGACCUGUACUGACGCUCAUGCACGAAAGCGUGGGGAGCAAACAGGAUUAGAUACCCGGGUAGUCCCAUGA